rnacentral:rRNA from 1 species
CCUACGGGUGGCAGCAGUGGGGAAUAUUGCACAAUGGGGGAAACCCUGAUGCAGCGACGCCGCGUGAGUGAAGAAGUAAUUCGUUAUGUAAAGCUCUAUCAGCAGGGAAGAAAAUGACGGUACCUGAGUAAGAAGCCCCGCCUAACUACGUCCCAGCGCCGGCGUGAAUCCGUAGGGGGCAAGCUUUACCCGGAUUUACUGGGUGUAAGGGGAGCGUAGACGGCAGUGCAAGUCUGGAGUGAAAGGCGGGGGCUCAACCCCCGGACUGCUCUGGAAACUGUACGGCUGGAGUGCAGGAGAGGUAAGUGGAAUUCCUAGUGUAGCGGUGAAAUGCGUAGAUAUUAGGAGGAACACCAGUGGCGAAGGCGGCUUACUGGACUGUAACUGACGUUGAGGCUCGAAAGCGUGGGGAGCAAACAGGAUUAGAUACCCGAGUAGUC